GGAAUGCGAUAAGUAAUGUGAAUUGCAGAAUUCAGUGAAUCAUCGAAUCUUUGAACGCACCUUGUGCUCCUUGGUAUUCCUUGGAGCAUGCCUGUUUGAGUAUCAUGAAAUCUUCAAAGUAAAUCUUUUGUUGACUCAAUUGGUUUCUACUUUGGUAUUGGAGGUCUUUGCAGCUUCACACCUGCUCCUCUUUGUUCAUUAGCUGGAUCUCAGUGUUAUGCUUGGUUCCACUCGGCGUGAUAAGUUAUCUAUCGCUGAGGACACUGUAAAAGGUGGCCAAGGUAAAUGCAGAUGAACCGCUUCUAAUAGUCCAUUGACUUGGACAAUACUUUUAUGAUCUGAUCUCAAAUCAGGUAGGACUACCCGCUGAACUUAAGC
rnacentral:misc_RNA from 1 species